rnacentral:rRNA from 1 species
AUACGUAGGGAGCGAGCGUUGUCCGGAAUUACUGGGCGUAAAGGGCGCGUAGGCGGCCCGGUAAGUCUGGAGUGAAAGUCCUGCUUUUAAGGUGGGAAUUGCUUUGGAUACUGUCGGACUUGAGUGCUGGAGGGGAUAGCGGAAUUCCUAGUGGAGCGGUAAAAUGCGCAGAUAUUAGGAAGAACACCGGUGGCGAAGGCGGCUUUCAGGACAGUAACUGACGUUGCGGCUCCCAAGAUUGGAGAGCAGACAGGAUGUUAUACCCUGGUUGUCCACGCCGUAAACGAUGAAUACUAGGUGUAGGUGGUAUCGACUCCCUCUGUGCCGCAGUUAACACAAUAAGUAUUCCGCCUGGGGAGUACGGCCGCAAGGUUGAAACUCAAAUGAAGUGGCGGGG